CUGGCCCCUGCAUACCCCGCAGGGCGCCUGCUGUGGCCACCGAGGUGUUGCCUGGAGCGGGGCUGACAGCAGGUGUGCUCCUGUGGAGUGACCCCAAGGAGCCUUCGAAUCCAGGUUCAAGCCAUAGAGUUGGGGCCUCUGACCUGGACAAUCCGGAGUUUUGUUUUCGUCACCCCGGCUGGAGUGCAGUGGCACGAUCUCGGCUCACUUCAACCUCCGCCUCCUGGGUUCAAGUGAUUCUCCUGCCUCAGCCUCCAGAGUAACUGGGACUACAGGCACCCGCUACCACGCCUGGCUAAUUUUUGCAUUUUUAGUAGAGACAGGGUUUCACCAUGUUGGCCAGGCUGGUCUCAAACUCCUGACGUCAAGUGAUCCUCCUUCCUUGGCCUCCCAAAGUGCUGGUAUUACAGGUGUGAGCCACCGUACCUGGCCUUAGUAAUUUUGCUUUCAAGUAUCAUUAUUUAAGAAAUACAUUUUGUAAGGCUAUAGCUGUCAUAUAUAGUGAUUCCUCUGAUGGAUCUGGACAAAGUCAAUUGAAAACCUCCUGGAAAGGAUUCACCAUUCUAGAUGUCAUUAAGAACAUUCGUGACUCAGAGAAGGAAGUCAAAAUGUCAACAUUAACAGGAGUUAGGAAGAAGUUGAUUUCAACCCUUAUGGAUGACUUUGAGGGGUUCAAGACUUCAGUGGAGGAGUCACCGCGGAUGUGGUACAAAUAGCAAUGAAACUAGAAUUAGAAGCGGAGCCUGAAGAUGUGAUUAAAUUGCUGCCAUCUCAUGAUAACACUUGAACAGACGAGUUGCUUCUUAUGAAUGAGCACCAAAAAAAGUGGUUUCUUGAGAUGGAAAGUACUUCUGGUGAAGAUACUGUGAAUGUUGUUGAAACGACAAUAAAUGAUUUAGAAUGUUAAUAAACUUAGUUAAUAAAGUAGCAGCCGGGUUGGAGAAGAUUAACUCAAUUUUUAAAAAUUUUUUAGAGUCAGGGUCUCGCUCUG
rnacentral:lncRNA from 1 species